AGGAGUGCAUGGGCAGAGUGAGCAGAAGAAACAUGCGAACCGACAAGUUGGGGCCAGACAGAGGUGAGGAAGACACAGCUAGGAAACCACAGCAGCACCGGUAGCGGCGGCGGCGGCGGCGGCGGCAGACUAACCUGUUGGAGGCUAUUUACUGUCAAGAGGGUUUGGCAGAACUUGCAGGGCUAGAGGAGGGAUUUCAGAGGUGGAACCAGAACACUGGAGGUCACAGUGACCUGCUCGGUGAAGACAGUCUGAGGCUGUUUCUGCACAGCCCAGCAACCGAGAAGUCAGCCCUGCUCAACAACUUUGAAACACUCACCCAGCCGACCUGAUGUGUUUGGGUGCUCACUGCCGGUGAGUAGAUAUAAGGACCCCCAGAGGAAUCUCUGAGAUUGCUUCGGUGCAUUUGUAACCCAGCAGCUAUGAGGAACCCAUAGAGCCUUCUGAGACAGCGUUGUGCAGAUUCUUCGCUCAUGAACAAUUUAUUUCAUAGGACACCCGUUUUGGAGAAGCUAAUGACUCAGAGCACUCCCAAGAAAAAGAAAAUGGAAAGAAGCCAAAAGUAUGAAAAGGACUCAGAAAGUUACUUAGAAGAUUUAAUCGACACUUCAUUUUUCUGUUCCUCAUCAGUUCCAGUAAACUAUGAUAUAUUUUUAAAACCUACUGUGCUAAAAGAUGUUGAAAGAUAUAAAUUGUCUAAAUAUUCUUUGUUCUCUGAAUUUUAUUUAUUUUUUUAUACAGCAAGUUCUUAUUAGUUAUACAUUUUAUACAUAUUAGUGUAUAUACAUCAAUCCCAAUCUCCCAAUUCAUCCCACCACCACCAUCCCCCGCCACUUCCCCCCC